AAAAAAGACAUCAGCAUCACAUUAGGAUUGGUUGCAAAAGGGAUGAACAGAAAGGUGUAGAUGGAGGAUCAUAGUUUCAAAAGGGGGACAACCACUUCAAAAUUCCAAAUAUUUUCUUUCACAGAUCUACAAGAACAUCAUUGGAAGAGGUGGCUCUCUUAUCAUUUUUUUUCUUUUGUGCAGGGAGGGGGUGGCGGCUGCUUGGCUUGGGCAGAAUAGCAGAGCAAGUACUAGUAGCAGAACAAAAAAGCCUUUUUAUAUCUCACAGCAAUUGUGACCUCUUGGGAGAAUCGAUGACUGCAUCUUUGAUGCAGUGCUAGUACUAGUACAUAUGCGAAUUCUUAAUUGUGUAGUUGUAAAUAGCCCCAGGGCUAUUGAACAAAGGAUUAUCCCGGACAUACACCGAGGUAUUAAUGGUGAUUUUCAAAUCUUGCAGAAUGUGAUAUGAUGAGAUAGAAUGCAAAGACAAGGAACGUAGCUGACUGCAAUGACUGCACUGAAAGUUCCGUGGAGGUCUACUAGGUUGUAAAAAAAUCAUGAAAUCAAAUACUAGUUCUUGCUGUUAUGCCUGUUUGUAAUGCAUAAACAAAUGUCUGCAAACUUCCAGUGAUUUCACUGAAUAUUAACCUAGUAUACAACAAGUGAGAAUGGUAUCUAUUAUCUGCAUAAAGUCCUUGUGGUCAUUCAGGUAAAGCAUAUACUUGUUCUUUUCCUUUUAUGAUGCUUUGCAUCUGUGUGACCUUUUCUUCUUCCUGAACUAGAUAAUUUGAGAUUCCAAUUCUGUAGUUGUAUUUCAUUUUAGAUAUUGUACAAGCUUGAUUCUCCUCUUUUGCAAAUUUUUGCACUUUUUGGAAGAGUCGUCUCUACUCCUUAGCUCCCUUUUGUCCUUAUUCUUGGUGUCUAAACUCAUCAGAUUAAGACAAAAAAUCAUAUGCCCCAUUAACUCCUCUCAAAGACCCAUUGGUCAUUCUCAUUUUCCUUUGUACCGCUGUUAAGUUCCUGCUCAUACUCAAAGGUCCAGUUCAGUAUUUCUCAAUCUCUGGUUUCAAGAGUUUAUCCAAGAGAUUAUAAUAGUCUUUGACUCGUGCAAUUGCCAAGAAAUUCCUAAGGUUUUCAUGUGUAGCUCAAUGUUUGUCCCCUUUUCUUAGUUAAUCUUCUCAUUACCUAAGUACUUUUGUUCAAAAUGAGUAAGCUGUUUUUCUUUUAAGUUUACAUUUGGGGUUUACUAAUUCACUUUUGUAUCUUCUCGUGGAAAUGGGAAGCUUUGAUGGGGUUUUGGUUUUAUGUGCUGAAUAUUGAGACACAUAUAUAACUUGCUUGGUACAUUAUCUGGAAAUGGCUUGGUUUGCUGGUUACAAGUUAUUCCAGAUGGCAGAGUUUGGCAGUAUAAAUCUGCUGUUCAAAGUUAAUAUGGUCUUGAGUUUUUAUUGUAUUUUUUUAUUAUUAUAAUUUUAACUAGUCCAAUUUUGUGAACCUUUGAAGUUGCUCAGUCAAAAUAUGAGGAAUGAGGGAAAGGCUAAGAAGUCAAACCUUUCGUUAUAAUAUCUAUACCGCUAUUCACUUGCCUUUGCUUUAGUAGGAGGGAGGAGGAGAGGGGGGGGGGGUGGGGGUUUGGGGGCGGAUGAACAAAAGAACAGGAGAUCACAUAUUUUUUCUUUCCCUUUAAGGCUCACUGCUAGGCUAUUUUCUGAGCAGUCAAGCUGGGUAGGUGCUUUGCUUUAGGCACUUUUUGUAAGCAUAUUUUGGCUACACCUAGGAGAUGAUAUAUAUAUAUAUAUAUAUAUAUAAACAAUGAGCUAGAAUGAGGUAUGGAAGGGCUUGUGCAGCAGCCCUUGUUGAUGUUCCUUGUGAGGCGGAAAGAGUUUUCUACUUUCACAGGGUCACCUGGACUAUGUAAAACUUGAUCUCUAAUCCCUUUUCCUUGCAGGAUAGAAAUUGUUGAGUUCCGUUAGUAUUAAGUUCUGUUUGGUUCGAGUACAUUUUCACUGUUGUUUUCUUCUGUUGGAGACAAUUGUUUGAUUUAUCUUCUGAGAUUUUCUACUAAAAUGGAUCCUGUUAUGCUUCUGGUAUAUAUUCAUUCUUUAUUCUGAUGUGCUUGUACAUUGCAUUUAUCACUAGGUGCAUUGUUUUGGCUUGCUCUGUAGGAAGAACAAGGGACAGAUGAAGUUUAUGCUGAACUUACUUCACACCCUGAAGUAGAUGUAAGCUGUUCUAACUUGCUCUCUCUUUAUUUCAUGGCCAUUUAAUUGGAUAUUUUCUUUGUUCCCCCAUUCCAGUUAACUUGAAAUGAAAAAAAAGGAAAGGCACCUUAACAAGUCAAUUUGAUGGGCAAUUAAAAUGUUAUUAGUACCCAAGUUUCAGUGAUAGCUCAUACAAGAAUGUGAACAUUUUACCCGAUCGAGUAAAGAAUUGACUUCAUAACUUUCAUCUGCCUCAUUAUGGACAAGUUGGUCUUCUAAUAUUUUGUAGCACUAUUAGUACAACCAAUUGUACAGCAGGUGGCUGCAGUGUUUGGUAUUGAAAGACUUUAAAGUCCUUCAUUCAAUACAACAGAGGCUUGUGGUCAUGUCAGCACCAGCUUUAACUGUUAUUUGAGUUUUUAGCAUUCAUUUAUUGUGGAGCCUCCGUGCGCAAAUAAGAGUUAAUGGGAAUUAUUGGACUAAAUAAAUGAGAAUGUAAAUUCAUAACUAUUGACUGCUAGAACUGCUGACUGGUUGCAAUUCUUGUGCUUCGGCUUCAUCUGUCUAAGAUGGAAUUAACUGUUAAUUACAUUUACCUCCCUUGAGGUUUGACCAAACAAUGAGAUUGUCCC
rnacentral:lncRNA from 1 species